rnacentral:rRNA from 1 species
UACGUAGGGUGCGAGCGUUGUCCGGAAUUAUUGGGCGUAAAGAGCUCGUAGGCGGUUUGUCGCGUCUGCCGUGAAAGUCCGGGGCUCAACUCCGGAUCUGCGGUGGGUACGGGCAGACUAGAGUGAUGUAGGGGAGACUGGAAUUCCUGGUGUAGCGGUGAAAUGCGCAGAUAUCAGGAGGAACACCGAUGGGCGAAGGCAGGUCUC